UACGAAGGGGGCUAGCGUUGCUCGGAAUCAUUGGGCGUAAAGCGCGCGUAGGUGGCUUCGUAAGUCCGUUGUGAAAGUCAAAGGCUCAACCUUUGAAAGCCGAUGGAUACUGCGGAGCUAGAGUACGGAAGAGGCGAGUGGAAUUCCUGGUGUAGCGGUGGAAUGCGCAGAUAUCAGGAGGAACACCAAUAGCGAAGGCAGCUCGCUGGGACGUUACUGACACUGAGGCGCGAAAGCGUGGGGAGCGAACAGG
rnacentral:rRNA from 1 species